ensembl:lncRNA
CUGUCGUACCUUUCGUCUCUGUCUAUCACCUGAAAACGUGGAUAUACAGCCGUGCACCUUUAAACUAAGAUUUAAGGAAUAUAAACAAACCGUAAUAAACUUUUUAAAAGUACGCUACGUGCAAAGAUGCACACUGUACCCGGUACAAAACGUGUACGCUUAAGGGUACCACCUGGACGACAAGGAAAGGUACCGUUUAGUACCCCCCUCCUGUCACCCAUCAUGGCGGAGCUCUCAGCCGACAGCAUCGCCGGGAGCGGAACCCUGUGCAGUUCCAUUUCAGAAUCAGAGAAAUCAGCAAUAGUGUUCAAAAUGAAUAAAGUCAAGAGUAAACAAGUGUUUAUUAUUUAAAGUCAUAUUUCAUUUGUAUUAUUUGUACUACAGAGUUAGCACCUGUACAUUUUAUCCGGUCACACAUAAUGACCGUAACUCUGUUCUAAAUGUGACUUAAAGGUGAUGAAUAAGAAGAAGAAGAACAUGAUGUCUACAGUGACGCUGAGAGACAGUGAUACACUCGAAUAUUCUCCAGUACAGCAGUAAAAACCUCCAUCGGUGAAAGUCAGUAUGUUUAACGCUGACUCCUGUGAUGCAGCGGAAACGGAACAGUUUUAUUAUCACGGACGUUUUUCUACAAUACUUUCAGGUGUUUCUGAGCUUUAACUCUUGUACAUUUUGAUCAGGGACAGCGGCAGCACCACAGAGAGAUCUCACCAAAAAUGUAAAGAAAAAAAAAUUAGGUUGUAAAUAUUAUAUAAUUAAAAAAAAAAAAAAACUUUCAAAACAGUUAUGUAAACGUACAUAAAGCAGUUUUCUAAUAUUUUAGCUAAAACUGUAAGUCGGAACGCGCGCGCGUGUGUGUGUGUUCAGACUGUAAAUGGUAACACCAUCUGUCCUCAUGUGAACACACUUACCUGACAGGUGCAGAUUGAACAGGUGUCAGUCGGGGAGCGGAAGGUGGAGCCGCUUUGGUACUCCUGCCCCAUAUACUCACACACACCUCUACACACGGGACAACACGCCCCCGGGGGCCUUACCGGCCUCCUACAGGACACCUCCAGACACGGCACAGCUGUAC